GCGCUUGCUUCAGCAGCACAUAUACUGAAAUUGAAUGAUACAGAAAUGAUUAGCAUGGCUCCUGAGCAAGGAUGACACACAAAUUCAUGAAGUGUUCCAUAUUUUU